rnacentral:rRNA from 1 species
AUUGAACGCUGGCGGCAGGCCUAACACAUGCAAGUCGAACGGUAACAGGAAACAGCUUGCUGUUUCGCUGACGAGUGGCGGACGGGUGAGUAAUGUCUGGGAAACUGCCUGAUGGAGGGGGAUAACUACUGGAAACGGUAGCUAAUACCGCAUAACGUCGCAAGACCAAAGAGGGGGACCCUCGGGCCUCUUGCCAUCGGAUGUGCCCAGAUGGGAUUAGCUUGUUGGUGGGGUAACGGCUCACCAAGGCGACGAUCCCUAGCUGGUCUGAGAGGAUGACCAGCCACACUGGAACUGAGACACGGUCCAGACUCCUACGGGAGGCAGCAGUGGGGAAUAUUGGACAAUGGGGGCAAGCCUGAUGCAGCCAUGCCGCGUGUAUGAAGAAGGCCUUCGGGUUGUAAAGUACUUUCAGCGGGGAGGAAGGGAGUAAAGUUAAUACCUUUGCUCAUUGACGUUACCCGCAGAAGAAGCACCGGCUAACUCCGUG